rnacentral:lncRNA from 1 species
GUUGCUGAAGACUGAGAAAACCUGAGACUUCUGGGAACCUCCUGUGAAUGUUAAAGAGCCCUGAGCGGCAAAGCCUAGGAACUCACGCUCAGCUGUGGCCCGAUGGCUGCUAAGUGCUAAUCAGCUAACAAGUCAUUGCCUGUGGAGUAAAGGGGUGUUGGGUGGAGAAGUUCUGAAGGUGGAGGGGCAGUGUUGGUAGAGACGGGAACAGGGUGAAGAUAUGUCUAGUGAGGGCCUGAGGGGGAACCCCUAGCCGGCUGGGGCCACUGGAGGACAACGGAGCCCCCUCCUGCCUCAGACACCCAAGAGCAAGAGUCAGCCUCUGCUGCCUCAGGCUGGACUCUCAGGAGGGAGUUGGGAGGACUCUUCAGUUUCCCCUCCAUCAGGAAAGUUGGUCCAGGAGAACCAGCCUCAGCCCCGACACAGGCAGUGGCUGGCUCAAGGCUCCGAACCGGCGAAAUCCUGGGCCACUGAAGCAAGCGCACGAACUUAACCACUCGGCCACGGGGCCGGCCCCUCAGCCAGAGCCUUAAAGGGAUGAAGCCUGAAAGCAUCUGACCAUGGUGGGAUCAGGGACUUACACCCCAGAAAUGAGGCUGUUGAGUAUGACCAAUAGUAAGAGCGAAUGCUUGCCAUGUGCCAGAGUUCUAAAUGGUUCAUAUAUAUAAAUUCAUCUUAUCUUCAGACAACUCUGCGAGCCAGGUUCUGUCGUCAUCAUCGUCAUCAUCUCUGUUUAGUCGAUGAGGAAGCUGAGGCACAGGGAGGCCAAGUAACUUGCCCAAGUGCACACAGUUGGGGCAUGGAGGGACAAGGAUUCAAACCCAGCAGACCUGAAUGUCUAAUCUAGGCCAUUAACCACUCUGCUGCCUCUCAGUGACAUGAUUUCAGCUAACCUAUUUUCUGCCUUCAUUCCGAACUUGGCCAGAAGUGGUCAGUAGAUCACGGUGACUCACCAGCAAAACCACAAAGGAGGUGAAGCCCAUCUCCCUUGCCUUCUAGCCACCCAAAGUCGGCCUCCAGGGGCCCCGACCUAUGAUUCUCCUUCCUCCCCGGCUCUGCAAGGAUGGCAGAGGCCUCCCCCUGCCAUCCAGACUCCCUAAGAUAUGUCAACGGGUUGUGGGUUUCCCACUCACUUAGGCCUCAUAUUCUGAAGUGAGAAAGCGCUAAUUUCCUGGUUUGGGGAAAAAGAGGAAAUACAACAUGCAUCACUUAAUGAACACACUCUGCAUGUCCACAUAUAUGUAAAUUAACUCAUUUGGUUUUCAAGUCAACUCAUUCUUGUUACUUGUCCUAUUUUACAAAUUAGGCCAAUGAGGCUUAGGGAGCUUGUGUGACCUGCCCACAGGUCCACAACCAGAAAAGGAACAGGAAACACUGCCCAAAUAUAUGGACCAUACUCUUUCUCUCCGUCUCUCCACCCUCUCUUCCCAUAUCUGGUUGUCUCAUCUCCCUGACUCUCUCAUCACCAGUCUAAUUUGUGUGUGUGUAUGUGUAGGGGGGAUCUUUAAUAAUAUUAUUAAUUCAAAUUAAGUAUUUUGGGUUUAAAUACCUUCUCUUCAAAUUUGAUUGUAAUUUUCCUGGAGUUUUUCAUGUCUCCAGUUCUAUGAAGUUGAAAGUUGAACCAUCCCUGACCUAAAUCAGUGUUUUAGAGUGGUUGAAAGAGAGGUAAUGCAUGUGCAAUGAUUUCAAAAGCAUCAAGUCAUCUACCAGUGCUGGGCUGCUGUUUUGUCUCGUCUUUGUUAAUGGCGUCUGGCACAGUUGCCAGGCUGUGCGGAGGAGCACUCCUGGGAAGCUCCAGAACAGCGCCAGCAUCAUCCAAACCUGAUAUGUUUUAUUCCACCUAAAACCACAAAGGCAACUGGGACUUGUUCUACCAACAUCAUAGUCCUAACACUGGUGGAAACUGACGUAAACGGAGGGGCUCACUACCAUCAACCCCAAACCUGAGGGGCUUUCAUUUCCACAAGCAGCCUCAGAGUCUUCUCCACAUAUAAUGAAUAUGCAUAUGGAUGCCUCUACAGCAUGGCCGAUGAAAGGAAUAGGUCCCUGCUCAGGAUCCCAACCCGCGAAGCCAGGUCACCAAAUCGGAGCACAAAAAACUUUAACCACUCAGCCACAGGGCCAGCCCCAAUCAAAAGUUUUUUUAAGUGGACAUAGACAACAGAAAUGUAUUUUAUAAGGCUGUCCACCAGAAUGUUCUUUAUAAAAGUGAAAAAUUGGAAUAAUUGAGUUUUGAACUAUCUGAUAAAAGAUCUCAUAAAAGUAUAGUAGAUCUAUAUUACUAGACUAUUACUCAGUCACUAAAAAUGAUGUAGAUAAAUAUUUGUUAACACACACACACAAAAUGGCCUAUACUGUAUUGUUAGGUGAAAGGUGCAAGUUAUAGAACAGAAUGACCUCAGUUUUGUAAAAAAAAAAAAA